ACGAGUAUGUCCUACGUCAAAUUUUGUUAAAAACAUUGCAAAUGUUUUACACAGCAAAUAAUUAGCAUGGUCACCUGCUAUCUCGACCUCAUAACUCCCUCUUCUUCUCUCUUCCUCUUUCUCCAGCACUUUCUCUGAAUUCUUUGUCUCUGCUUCUGUUUCCAUCCCUUUCCUGCUCCCACACUUCAUCCCAACAAUGUGAUGCCUGUCAGAGUGGCCGAACUUGUCAGAUCUCCUUCGUGCUCAGUCUCCCUUUCCUAAACCCUGUUCCCUCUUUCUUGAUCUCUGUAAUUCCUGUUCCUCUCCUCACGCCCACCAUGUCCAUAUCCCCGCGCAUACUGCCCUCUGCUGCUCCGGUGUCCACCCUUUUCUCCUCUAUCCAAGUUACUAUGUUCAGAAGAAUCACGGAAAGUAGUUCGAUUCCUUUUUUUUUCCCCACUACCCUCAUUCAAAAGAUGGGAAAUGCUUGCUCAGCUGCCCUGGAUGGAUGCUGGUGUGAUUACUUUCUUUUUUAGAACAGCAGCUGAUUGAAGAACCGAUUUUUCAAGGGAAACUAUUGAUCUAAUAGUAGUAGGCAAGAUCCGACACAAAGGAACCCAAAAUCUGCCAAAACACAUAGGCGAUGGGUGCCCAAAUGCCUUAAAAAUCCACUGACGCCGUGUCAUGACCUUAACUGUAGCGGUCUGUCAUGGCUUCAUGGUCGUAGUUAGUUGCAGGAGAUCGUGGCAUUAAGUUCUUAGUUAGUAGUAGUUAAGGUUCAGUCUUGAUGAUGCCUGCCCGCCCCGCCAUUAAUCACAUCAGCCGACAACCGAAGAUCUCUUUUCGAGUCGGAGAUUUAGAAAUGGGGGACAGACAGAGGAAGAGAGUUCUGUACUCGCAUACUUCAUCAACACCAAAGGAGGGAUAAUGGUUUAUGCAGGUGAAAUCAAAGAUAAAGGCAACAGCUAUGCCAAAUGUGUCACUUCCAGAGGCCCAAUGCCAGAAGGUAGAGACUUUUUCAAUCGGCUCCAGAUCCAGUCACUCUGCAAAAGCUGCUCUGGAUGAGCUCUUGGACUUGCCUUCUGGAUCUUCCAUCCAUAGAUGUACUAAAGCAAGCAACACCGAGUUCGAAUCCAAUGACAUAGGUGUUCAGGAAAUGUCAUCAGCACAUGCAACACAUGAAUUCUGAAAAGCUCAAGCUUCCAGUAGAGUGUUUGAAGAAUGCAUAUGCAAGGUUCCAAGAGAGGGAUGUUUCUAGAACUUUGUUGGGAGAUGCAGAAGGAGUAUGUGGUGCAAAAAGGCGAAAGAAGAAUACUGUGCCAGCACCUCCUGAAAAGAUACAUGCUGGCAUCUUGAAUUAUCAUUUAAAUAAAAGAGUUUCAUCCCAUGAACCUCUUGAAAGAGGUGUUGGACUGGAUUCCUUUCCUCCAUCCUUUCUGACAAGCAUGGAUGUUUAUAUGAGGAGGAGAAGAAAGAUAGAAGCUGCGAAGCUGAGAAUCAACAAAAUUAUGGUUUCUAAGAUAUCAUAGCAAAGGAGGAGCUUGACUGAGCAGGAUAAUGUUUCAGAUGAUGAACAGUAUACGGAUGUGGCAAGCUGCAGUACAAGCAAACUUUAUCAGCAGGCUGGAGAAAAAGAUAUUGAUUGGGAAGAUUGUAUUAUUGAACUCCUUCUCUUGCAUCUGGUAAGCGAGGAAGAAAUAGAGAAGGGAUACCGUCGAUCUCUACUUGGUCUGUACGUCUUUACUUCUGGUCAUAACAUUUCAAAUGAAGAACUUGGGAGUUAUCUACGCCCUAAAGAAGAAGUUGCUUUAUUAUCGAUGCUGAAGGACUGGGAGUGACUAGUAAGAGAUAACAUUUGCAGCGUCUUAAAUUGGAUCAAAUUUCCA